rnacentral:rRNA from 1 species
UACGGAGGGGGCUAGCGUUGUUCGGAAUUACUGGGCGUAAAGCGCACGUAGGCGGAUUGUUUAGUCGGGGGUGAAAUCCCGGGGCUCAACCCCGGAACGGCCUUCGAUACUGGCAGUCUGGAGGAUGGAAGAGGCGAGUGGAAUUCCGAGUGUAGAGGUGAAAUUCGUAGAUAUUCGGAGGAACACCAGUGGCGAAGGCGGCUCGCUGGUCCAUUUCUGACGCUGAGGUGCGAAAGCGUGGGGAGCAAACAGG